GAUGAACGCUGGCGGCGUGCUUAACACAUGCAAGUCGAACGAUGAAGCCCAGCUUGCUGGGUGGAUUAGUGGCGAACGGGUGAGUAACACGUGAGUAACCUGCCCUUAACUCUGGGAUAAGCCUGGGAAACUGGGUCUAAUACCGGAUAGGAGCGCCUACCGCAUGGUGGGUGUUGGAAAGAUUUAUCGGUUUUGGAUGGACUCGCGGCCUAUCAGCUUGUUGGUGAGGUAAUGGCUCACCAAGGCGACGACGGGUAGCCGGCCUGAGAGGGCGACCGGCCACACUGGGACUGAGACACGGCCCAGACUCCUACGGGAGGCAGCAGUGGGGAAUAUUGCACAAUGGGCGAAAGCCUGAUGCAGCGACGCCGCGUGAGGGAUGACGGCCUUCGGGUUGUAAACCUCUUUCAGUAGGGAAGAAGCGAAAGUGACGGUACCUGCAGAAGAAGCACCGGCUAACUACGUG
rnacentral:rRNA from 1 species